rnacentral:rRNA from 1 species
CCUACCCUGUAACAGGGGAAUAGCCCGAAGAAAUUCGGAUUAAAGUCCCAUAAUAUAUUGAGUCCGCAUGGAAUUAAUAUAAAAACUCCGGUGGUUAAGGAUGGGCAUGCGUGACAUUAGCUAGUUGGUGAGGUAACGGCUCACCAAGUCAGCGAUGUCUAGGGGGCCUGAGAGGGUAAUCCCCCACACUGGUACUGAGACACGGACCAGACUCCUACGGGAGGCAGCAGUGAGGAAUAUUGCGCAAUGGAGGCAACUCUGACGCAGCCAUGCCGCGUGCAGGAAGACGGCCCUAUGGGUUGUAAACUGCUUUUAUACGGGAAUAAUCCCCUUUACGUGUAGAGGGUUGAAUGUACCGUAAGAAUAAGCAUCGGCUAACUCCGUGCCAGCAGCCGCGGUAAUACGGAGGAUGCAAGCGUUAUCCGGAUUUAUUGGGUUUAAAGGGUGCGUAGGCGGGAUUGUAAGUCAGUGGUGAAAUCUUGCAGCUUAACUGUAAAAUAGCCAUUGAUACUGCAGUUCUUGAGUACAAUUGAGGUAGGCGGAAUGUGUAAUGUAGCGGUGAAAUGCUUAGAUAUUACACAGAACACCGAUUGCGUAGGCAGCUUACUAAGUUGUAACUGACGCUGAGGCACGAAAGCGUGGGUAGCGAACAGGAUUAGAUACCCUGGUAGUCCACGCCGUAAACGAUGAUCACUCGUUGUUGGCGAUACACAGUCAGCGACUGAGCGAAAGCAUUAAGUGAUCCACCUGGGGAGUACGGUCGCAAGACUGAAACUCAAAGGAAUUGACGGGGGCCCGCACAAGCGGAGGAACAUGUGGUUUAAUUCGAUGAUACGCGAGGAACCUUACCUGGGCUUAAAUGUAGAGCGAUGUUCCGAGAAA